rfam:Oryza glaberrima chromosome 2 Oglab02_0258_17, whole genome shotgun sequence.
AAAAAAGCAAACCCUGAGUUUACAUGUCCAACUUUAACUGUUCAUCUUAUAUAAAAAUUUUUUAUAAUUCGUAUUUUCAUUGUUGUUAGAUGAUAAAACAUGAUUAAUAUUUUAUACGUGACUUAUCUUUUUAAUUUUUUUCAUAAUUUUUUUAAAUAAGACGGACGGUCAAACGUUGAGCACGAAAAUCAGGGUUUGUCUUUUU